CCCCUAGAUGUUCUGGGCCGCACGCGCGCUACACUGAACAGUUCAACAAGUCUUAACCUUGGACGAUAGGUCUGGGUAAUCUUUGAACGCUGUUCGUGAUUGGGAUAGACCUUUGCAAUUAUGGGUCUUCAACGAGGAAUUCCUAGUAAACGCAAGUCAUCAGCUUGCAUUGAUUACGUCCCUGCCCUUUGUACACACCGCCCGUCGCACCUACCGAUUGAAUGGUCCGGUGAAAUCUCGGGACGGCGGCUUGGUCGCUUGCGUCCGACUGCUGAAACUUGAUUAAACCAUAUCAUUUAGAGGAAGGUGAAGUCGUANCA
rnacentral:rRNA from 1 species